UGUAAUGGUACACACAAGUCACGGUUCGGUACGUACCUCGGUUUUUAAGUCACGGUACGGUACGGUUCAUAGUUAAGGGGACAAUUAAUAAAAAAACUGCUUGUUUGUCAACAACGGAGAAUGGCCGUAGAUCAGCAGGAAUGAAAACACCAAUAAACUUGGUUAUGGCAUUUGCAUUUCUGAUUUGCCAGACAGGGGUUGGUGAAAUAGUGUCGUGAGCUGGGUUUGCGCAGCUCGUUUUUUUCCCACAGCAACAGUGAUAGUAACACCUGGAUGGUGCCUUUCAAAUACGUGCGCUAGAGAUGUGCAUUUCUGGCAACAAUACUAUUCGAUGCUAUUUGAUAGUUCGGCGAUCGUUGCCCGCCAUCUACGCCACAUUUACGUACCGCGGUACACCUCUGUAACCGCUCCGAAGUGCCUGUACCGUGACGGUUCGGUACAAAUACGUGUACCGUUACACCCCUAACACACACUAAGGCGUAUCAUAAGGUACACUAGAUGUUAGGGUUAGGGUUAGUAGCGUGUCAGGUGGUGUGGGGCAGCAGUAGCGUGUCGGGUGGGGUUGGGGCAGCAGUAGCGUGUCGGGUGGGGUUGGGGCAGCAGUAGCGUGUCGGGUGGGGUUGGGGUAGCAGUAGUGUGUUUGUUGGUUGGGCAGCAGUAGCGUGUCGGGUGGUGUGGGACAGCAGUAGUUUGUCGGGUGGGGCAGCAGCAGCAUGUCGGGUGGGGGUGGGACAGCAGCAGCGUGUCGGGUGGGGCAGCAGCAGCAUCGUGUCGGGUGGUGCACGUGGCUCACGCUGGUCAUGGGUUUGACGCUGCUCUGGUCUCCUCCCCCGAGGACGUAGUUGGCGCUCACCCCCACCUCGGCGAACUUGGCGUUGCCCUGCACCC